GAUGAACGCUGGCGGCGUGCCUAAUACAUGCAAGUCGAGCGAACAGACGAGGAGCUUGCUCCUCUGACGUUAGCGGCGGACGGGUGAGUAACACGUGGAUAACCUACCUAUAAGACUGGGAUAACUUCGGGAAACCGGAGCUAAUACCGGAUAAUAUAUUGAACCGCAUGGUUCAAUAGUGAAAGACGGUUUUGCUGUCACUUAUAGAUGGAUCCGCGCCGCAUUAGCUAGUUGGUAAGGUAACGGCUUACCAAGGCAACGAUGCGUAGCCGACCGGUGAGGGUGAUCGGCCACACUGGAACUGAGACACGGUCCAGACUCCUACGGGAGGCAGCAGUAGGGAAUCUUCCGCAAUGGGCGAAAGCCUGACGGAGCAACGCCGCGUGAGUGAUGAAGGUCUUCGGAUCGUAAAACUCUGUUAUUAGGGAAGAACAAAUGUGUAAGUAACUAUGCACGUCUUGACGGUACCUAAUCAGAAAGCCACGGCUAACUACGUG
rnacentral:rRNA from 1 species